rnacentral:tRNA from 1 species
GGCGGUGUAGCACAGUUGGUUAGUGCGUUCGGUUCAUACCCGGAAGGUCGAGGGUUCGAAUCCCUCUGCCGCUACCA